UACGGAGGGUGCGAGCGUUGUCCGGAAUCACUGGGCGUAAAGGGCGCGUAGGCGGCCUGGCAAGUCGAUGGUGAAAGCCCGUGGCUCAACUACGGGUCGGCCAUUGAUACUGCUAGGCUCGAGUCGACUAGAGGCAGAUGGAAUUCCGGGUGUAGCGGUGGAAUGCGUAGAGAUCCGGAAGAACACCGGUGGCGAAGGCGGUCUGCUGGGGUAGAACUGACGCUGAGGCGCGACAGCGUGGGGAGCAAACAGG
rnacentral:rRNA from 1 species